GUAGGUGGCAAGCGUUGUCCGGAAUUAUUGAGCGUAAAGCGCGCGCAGGCGGUUCUUUAAGUCUGAUGUGAAAGCCCACGGCUCAACCGUGGAGGGUCAUUGGAAACUGGAGAACUUGAGUACAGAAGAGGAAAGCGGAAUUCCACGUGUAGCGGUGAAAUGCGUAGAGAUGUGGAGGAACACCAGUGGCGAAGGCGGCUUUCUGGUCUGUAACUGACGCUGAGGCGCGAAAGCGUGGGGGAGCAAACAGGAUUAGAUACCCUGGUAGUCCACGCCGUAAACGAUGAGUGCUAAGUGUUAGGGGGUUUCCGCCCCUUAGUGCUGCAGCUAACGCAUUAAGCACUCCCGCCUGGGAGUACGGCCGCAAGGCUG
rnacentral:rRNA from 1 species